CUACGGGAUGCUGCAGUGAGGAAUAUUGGUCAAUGGGCGCAAGCCUGAACCAGCCAUGCCGCGUGAAGGAUGACGGCCCUAUGGGUUGUAAACUUCUUUUAUAGGGGAAGAAACUCUGCUACGUGUAGCGGACUGACGGUACCCUACGAAUAAGCAUCGGCUAACUCCGUGCCAGCAGCCGCGGUAAUACGGAGGAUGCAAGCGUUAUCCGGAUUUAUUGGGUUUAAAGGGUGCGCAGGCGGAAGAUUAAGUCAGUGAUGAAAUCCUGCAGCUUAACUGUAGAACUGUCAUUGAUACUGGUUUUCUUGAAUAUAGUUGAGGUAGGCGGAAUAAGUAAUGUAGCGGUGAAAUGCUUAGAUAUUACUUAGAACACCGAUUGCGAAGGCAGCUUACUAAGCUAUUAUUGACGCUGAGGCACGAAAGCGUGGGGAGCGAACAGGAUUAGAUACCCGCGUAGUC
rnacentral:rRNA from 1 species